rnacentral:rRNA from 1 species
UGUGUAGGCGGAAAAGUAAGCGUCUUGUGAAAUCCCCCGGCUUAACCGGGGAAUUGCUUGGCGAACUGCUUUUCUUGAGGCAAGUAGGGGUGCAUGGAACUCUUGGUGGAGCGGUGGAAUGCGUAGAUAUCAAGAGGAACGCCAGUGGUGAAAACGGUGCACUGGGCUUGUCCUGACGCUGAGACACGAAAGCGUGGGUAGCGAACAGGAUUAGAUACCCUGGUAGUCC